GGGAAGGAUGAGAAGCUUCGACUAAGGUUCGAUUCGAGCGUCAGCGAGAAAGCGUUGCCGCAGGCAACGACCCGAAGGGCGAAGCGCGCAGCGCUGAGUCAUCCUUCCCCCACCACCA
rnacentral:sRNA from 8 species